UAAUACGGGGGGAGCAAGCGUUGUUCGGAUUUACUGGGCGUAAAGGGCGCGUAGGCGGCCAAACAAGUCACUUGUGAAAUCUCCGGGCUUAACUCGGAACGGUCAAGUGAUACUGUUUGGCUAGAGUGCGGAAGGGGCAACUGGAAUUCUCGGUGUAGCGGUGAAAUGCGUAGAUAUCGAGAGGAACACCUGCGGCGAAGGCGGGUUGCUGGGCCGACACUGACGCUGAAGCGCGAAAGCUAGGGGAGCGAACGGGAUUAGAUACCCCGGUAGUCCUAGCCUUAAACGAUGAAUGCUUGGUGUCUCGGGUUAUAAAGUCCCGGGGUGCCGUCGCUAACGCUUUUAGCAUUCCGCCUGGGGAGUACGGUCGCAAGACUG
rnacentral:rRNA from 1 species